UGGGGAAUAUUGCACAAUGGGCGCAAGCCUGAUGCAGCCAUGCCGCGUGUGUGAAGAAGGCCUUCGGGUUGUAAAGCACUUUCAGCGAGGAGGAAGGUGGUGAACUUAAUACGUUCAUCAAUUGACGUUACUCGCAGAAGAAGCACCGGCUAACUCCGUGCCAGCAGCCGCGGUAAUACGGAGGGUGCAAGCGUUAAUCGGAAUUACUGGGCGUAAAGCGCACGCAGGCGGUUUGUUAAGUCAGAUGUGAAAUCCCCGGGCUCAACCUGGGAACUGCAUUUGAAACUGGCAAGCUAGAGUCUCGUAGAGGGGGGUAGAAUUCCAGGUGUAGCGGUGAAAUGCGUAGAGAUCUGGAGGAAUACCGGUGGCGAAGGCGGCCCCCUGGACGAAGACUGACGCUCAGGUGCGAAAGCGUGGGGCAGCAAACAGGAUUAGAUACCCUGGUAGUCCAGCGCUGUAAACGAUGUCGAUUUGGAGGUUGUGCCCUUGAGGCGUGGCUUCCGGAGCUAACGCGUUAAAUCGACCGCCUGGGGAGUACGGCCGCAAGGUU
rnacentral:rRNA from 1 species